rnacentral:rRNA from 1 species
GAUGAACGCUGGCGGCGUGCCUAAUACAUGCAAGUCGAGCGAACAGACGAGGAGCUUUCUCCUCUGACGUUAGCGGCGGACGGGUGAGUAACACGUGGAUAACCUACCUAUAAGACUGGGAUAACUUCGGGAAACCGGAGCUAAUACCGGAUAAUAUAUUGAACCGCAUGGUUCAAUAGUGAAAGACGGUUUUGCUGUCACUUAUAGAUGGUUCCGCGCCGGAUUAGCUAGUUGGUAAGGUAACGGCUUACCAAGGCGACGAUGCGUAGCCGACCCGGGCGGGGGAGUCGCCCAACUGGAACUGAGAAACGGUCCAGACUCCGAAGGGAGGGAGCAGGGGGGAAUAUUGCACAAUGGGCGCAAGCCGUACGGAGCCAUGCCGCGUGUAGGAAGAAGGCUUUCGGGUUGGAAAAUCCUUUUAGUUGGGAAGAAAAAAAUGGGUAAAAUACCUUUCCUGUUUGACGGGACCCUAAUAAGAAGCCCCGGCUAACUUCGGG